rnacentral:rRNA from 1 species
CACGCAGGCGGUCAUACAAGUCAGCUGUUAAAUGCAUGGGCUUAACCGAUGCAUGCGGUUGAAACUGUAUGGCUAGAGUACUGGAGAGGUAAGUGGAAUUCCCGGUGUAGCGGUGAAAUGCGUAGAUAUCGGGAAGAACACCAGUGGCGGAGGCGGCUUACUGGCCAGUAACUGACGCUGAGGUGCGAAAGCCAGGGGAGCGAACC